rnacentral:rRNA from 1 species
AGAGUUUGAUCCUGGCUCAGGACGAACGCUGGCGGCGUGCCUAAUACAUGCAAGUCGAGCGCAGGAAACCGUCUGAACCCUUCGGGAGGACGACGGCGGAAUGAGCGGCGGACGGGUGAGUAACACGUAAAGAACCUGCCCAUAGGUCUGGGAUAACCACGAGAAAUCGGGGCUAAUACCGGAUGUGUCAUCGGACCGCAUGGUCCGCUGAUGAAAGGCGCUUCGGCGUCGCCCAUGGAUGGCUUUGCGGUGCAUUAGCUAGUUGGUGGGGUAAUGGCCCACCAAGGCGACGAUGCAUAGCCGACCUGAGAGGGUGAUCGGCCACACUGGGACUGAGACACGGCCCAGACUCCUACGGGAGGCAGCAGUAGGGAAUCUUCCACAAUGGACGAAAGUCUGAUGGAGCAACGCCGCGUGAACGAUGAAGGCUUUCGGGUCGUAAAGUUCUGUUGUAAGGGAAGAAUAAGUGCCGCAGGCAAUGGCGGCACCUUGACGGUACCUUGCGAGAAAGCCACGGCUAACUACGUGCCAGCAGCCGCGGUAAUAC